GACCGAAAGGGGUUUAACCCAGACUGAAGUUAAGGUCCCUAAAUUUUUGCUAAGUGUCAAGCUAAAGAGCGUGUUCUCGCCAAGACAGCAGGGAGGUAAGCUCAGAAGCAGCUAUCCUUUAAAAAGUGUGUAACAACUUACCUGCCGAGGGGGGAUGCCUCAAAAACGGACGGGGCUAAAGCAAAGUACCGAUACUUUAGAUAAUUAUUAAUGAAUAAUUCGUGGUAGGUUGGCGUAGUGAUUGGGCCGAAGCAGGGCGAUGACGUCCUGUGGACCGAUUUCUAUUGCAGAUCUUGGCGGCAGUAACAGCAUAGUAUUGUGAGAACCAAUACCACCGCAAGCGCAAGGGUUUCCAGGCAAUGCGUUAUCAGCCUGGAGGUAGUCGAUCCUAAGAUGUACCUCAACAGAGUACACCGAAUGGGAAACUAGUUAAUAUUCUAGUACCUUGCAUGAAACGUUUGAGCUAUAUGGUUCGCUUCCGGAUAGGGGUUGUACAACUAUCGUUGUAUCUAACUAUUCGAGGAUGAAGGAGUGUCGUAAUGACGAGAUCUUGUCCGAGGUAGGAAUGGCUUCGCGUUAGCGAAGUUUUCUUGAAUCCAGGAGACCAUGAAAGACUGUGUAGUUAGUAGAUUGCAAGUUCGUACCCAGAACCGACACAGGUGCGCUGGCUUAGAAAGCUAAGGUGCUACGGGUAUACCGUAUGGCGAGGGAAUUCGGCAAAUUAGUCCUGUAGCUUAGGUAUAAGGGAUGCCUGCGAUCUUCAUGAGGAAUGGGGACCGCAGGUUGCAAUGACAAGGGGGUUUCGACUGUUUAAUAAAAACACAGGCGACUGCUAGUCCGAAAGGAUUUGUAUAGUCGCUGAAUCCUGGCCGGUGCCGGUACCUAAAACUUGGGUUCAACCGAGCUAAGGGCCGGUUAACGCCGGGAGUAACUCUGACUCUCUUAAGGUAGCCAAAUGCCUUGUCGGGUAAGUUCCGACGCGCAUGAAUGGAACAACGAGAGCCCCACUGUCCCCGCCUACAACCCGGUGAAGCCACAUAAGGUGGACGAACAGUCCAUCGCCUUCCAUUGGGGAGAGAAGACCCCGUGGAGUUUUACUGCAGCUUGUGCUUGUGGUAUAGUAAGAAUUGCACAGGGUAUCUGGGAGCUAUGCUCAACAUUCCCCGGGAUGUUGAUGAAGCAACGAUGUAACACCAGACUCUUUUUGCAGUACCACUUAUCCAGUGAAGACCGGAGACACGUGCAGGUGGGCAGUUCGGCUGGGGCGGCACCCCUUUGAAAAGAUAUCAAAGGGGCCCAAAGUUGAGUUCAAACGGGGCAGAAAUCCGUUGAAGAGGGCAAAGCCAAAAACUCGACUGAAUGGAUUUCCAAACGCACGGAAUUCAUAGACGAAAGUCUGGCUUAGCGAUCCUUCGUGUGCCCACUAUUGGGGCCCGGAGGUGACAGAAAAAUUACCCCAGGGAUAACAGGCUCGUCGCGGGCGAGAGCUCCUAUCGACCCCGCGGUUUGGUACCUCGAUGUCGGCUUUUCCUAUCCUGGUCCUGCAGCAGGGGCCAAGGGUGAGGCUGCUCGCCUAUUAAAAGGGAACAUGAGCUGGGUUUAGACCGUCGUGAGACAGGUCGGUCUCUGCCUAAUGGAAGCGUGAAUAACUGAGGGGAAGUUGCUCCUAGUACGAGAGGAACAGAGCAGCGUGGCCACUGGUUUACCGGUUGUCUGAUAAGGCAGGCCGGGCAGCUAAGCCGUUUGGGCUAAGUGCUGAAAGCAUCUAAGCACGAAUCCCAUCCCGAGACAAGUUAUUCUUUCGUAAGAUGAAGGUCGGCAGCAAAAUACUGCGUUGAUAGGAAGGUGGUGUAAAUCACAAGCUUCGGCGAGUGAUGAGCCAGCCUUUACUAAUAGACCAACAUAACGGUU
rnacentral:rRNA from 1 species